UUGAUCAUGGCUCAGAUUGAACGCUGGCGGAAUGCUUUACACAUGCAAGUCGAACGGCAGCACGGGGCAACCCUGGUGGCGAGUGGCGAACGGGUGAGUAAUACAUCGGAACGUGCCCAGUCGUGGGGGAUAACUACGCGAAAGCGUAGCUAAUACCGCAUACGAUCUACGGAUGAAAGCGGGGGAUCGCAAGACCUCGCGCGAUUGGAGCGGCCGAUGGCAGAUUAGGUAGUUGGUGGGGUAAAGGCUCACCAAGCCUGCGAUCUGUAGCUGGUCUGAGAGGACGACCAGCCACACUGGGACUGAGACACGGCCCAGACUCCUACGGGAGGCAGCAGUGGGGAAUUUUGGACAAUGGGCGCAAGCCUGAUCCAGCCAUUCCGCGUGCAGGAUGAAGGCCUUCGGGUUGUAAACUGCUUUUGUACGGAACGAAAAGGCUCUGGUUAAUACCUGGGGCUCAUGAC
rnacentral:rRNA from 1 species